rnacentral:rRNA from 1 species
GACGUAGGAGGCGAGCGUUGUCCGGAGUUACUGGGCGUAAAGCGCGCGCAGGCGGCCCUGUGCGCUGCCGGUGAAAGCUCCCGGCUUACCUGGGAGAGGUUCGGCAGGACGGCAGGGCUGGAGGGUGGGAGAGGUCGGUGGAAUUCCCGGUGUAGUGGUGAAAUGCGUAGAGAUCCGGAAGAACACCGGUGGCGAAGGCGGCCUGCUGGGCAGUAGCUGACACUGAGGCGCGACAGCGUGGGGAGCAAACAGG